AUUGAACGCUGGCGGAAUGCUUUACACAUGCAAGUCGAACGGCAGCACGGGGGCAACCCUGGUGGCGAGUGGCGAACGGGUGAGUAAUACAUCGGAACGUGCCCAGUCGUGGGGGAUAACGUAGCGAAAGUUACGCUAAUACCGCAUACGAUCUACGGAUGAAAGCGGGGGACCGUAAGGCCUCGCGCGAUUGGAGCGGCCGAUGUCAGAUUAGGUAGUUGGUGAGGUAAAGGCUCACCAAGCCGACGAUCUGUAGCUGGUCUGAGAGGACGACCAGCCACACUGGAACUGAGACACGGCCCAGACUCCUACGGGAGGCAGCAGUGGGGAAUUUUGGACAAUGGGCGCAAGCCUGAUCCAGCCAUUCCGCGUGCAGGACGAAGGCCUUCGGGUUGUAAACUGCUUUUGUACGGAACGAAAAGGCUCUGGUUAAUACCUGGGGCUCAUGACGGUACCGUAAGAAUAAGCACCGGCUAACUACGUGCCAGCAGCAGCCGCGG
rnacentral:rRNA from 1 species